rnacentral:lncRNA from 1 species
CAAAACUCUAUGAGGAGUAAGUAUGUUUAUCAGAGAUGGUGCUUGUGUAGAAGACAUGAGAGAGUAAUGUAAAGGGCCUGGCCCAAGGUAGGCUUAGUAAAUGGUGACCAUUGAGCCUGUUGUAACAUGGCCAGCCUAUGGAACAAGCAUGAAGUGUGUCUUCAGACACCAGCCUCUGAGGGUCCAUGAAGCUAGCUAACUUGCUGGCCUUAUGCUUACAUGGCCUCAUGUAAUGUGCACAACAUAUUUUCCUUUUCUUCCCAUAGCUGCAAUUCUCAUUGCAAGAUCAUCGCCUCCCUGGUUUAUAGUAGACAGACCUUUUCUGUUUUUCAUCCGACAUAAUCCUACAGGUGCUGUAUUAUUCAUGGGACAGAUAAACAAACCCUGAAGAGUAUACAAAAGAAACCAUGCAAAGCAACGACUACUUUGCUACGAAGAAAGACUCCUUUCCUGCAUCUUUCAUAGUUCUGUUAAAUAUUUUUGUACAUCGCUUCUUUUUCAAAACUAGUUCUUAGGAACAGACUCGAUGCAAGUGUUUCUGUUCUGGGAGGUAUUGGAGGGAAAAAACAAGCAGGAUGGCUGGAACACUGUACUGAGGAAUGAAUAGAAAGGCUUCCAAAUGUCUAAAAGAUUCUUUAAACUACUGAACUGUUACCUAGGUUAACAACCCUGUUGAGUAUUUACUGUUUGUCCAGUUCAGGAAUUUUUGUUUUGUUUUGUCUAUAUGUGCGGCUUUUCAGAAGAAAUUUAAUCAGUGUGACAGAAAAAAAAAGUUUUAUGGUAGCUUUUACUUUUUAUGAAAAAAAUUAUUUGCCUUUUAAAUUCUUUUCCCCCAUCCCCCUCCAAAGUCUUGAUAGCAAGCGUUAUUUUGGGGGUAGAAACGGUGAAAUCUCUAGCCUCUUUGUGUUUUUGUUGUUGUUGUUGUUGUUUUAUAUAAUGCAUGUAUUCACUAAAAUAAAAUUUAAAAAACUCCUGUCUUGCUAGACAAGGUUGCUGUUGUGCAGUGUGCCUGUCACUACUGGUCUGUACUCCUUGGAUUUGCAUUUUUGUAUUUUGUACAAAGUAAAAAUAAACUGUUAUGAGUAGUAAAAAUAAAGCUAUUUCUCUGCUAUUUGAAAAUACAAUAGAAGAAACUGAGCCUUUUAGACAUUCGUCAGCCUCUUCUAAUAAACCUUUGUACUAUGUAAACAUCAGGAAAUUCAAAGCUCGGAGACUUUUCCUAUCCUUUUCCUCUAGACCUGACAAUCAAACACUUCCCCGCUUCAACAACGUCUCAUUUUAUAGAUCACUUCAACAGAGUAACUAUUACAGUAAUCCUAGUUCUACUCUUAGCUACAUUCACUCCAGCAAUGGCUAAG